AUUCUUACGGGGGGCAGCAGUGGGGGAUAUUGCACAAUGGGGGAAACCCUGAUGCAGCGACGCCGCGUGUGGGAAGACGGUCCUCUGGAUUGUAAACCACUGUCCCCAGGGACGAAGAUGACGGUACCUGGGGAGGAAGCUCCGGCUAACUACGUGCCAGCAGCCGCGGUAAUACGUAGGGAGCGAGCGUUGUCCGGAAUUACUGGGUGUAAAGGGAGCGUAGGCGGGGAUGCAAGGUGGGUGUCAGAACUACCGGCUCAACUGGUAGCCGCACUCAAACAUGUAGCUCUUGAGUGACGUAGAGG
rnacentral:rRNA from 1 species